GUAUGAUGUAUAGUGGAAGAUCAGGAAACGUGGCCAGGAGUUGUGAGAGAAGGCGAUGCAGAGAUGAAGGACAUCAUACCCCAAGACUAGUUCUGUGUGUAUAAGCCUGAUCAACAAGUAAAAAGAGUCAGAUCUCUCAAUUGCCAUGAUGACCAAGAUAUUCAACGGGGAAAUGUGGAAAGUUGCCAUAUUCCCAGUCAAUACUCAUCUGUGCAGCAGUAGCAGCAGCACCGAGGAAUCCUACUUUCCUGAGUCCAACACCGAGAGGGCUUUUACUGAAAUAAUUGACAAUAUGAUGGACAGUGGACAAUAUGAUGAGCAGUACUUGAAUUUGUUCAGUAGUAUUAGUGUGACAAAUCAGUUUUUGUUCUCCAACAUAUACAGACUGCUGUUGUGAAGCAGGGACACACAGCUCACAAGUGUGUAGUCAAAAGAGAGAAAUGCUGUAUAUUUCAGCGACUCCUACAAAUUGAGAAAAAUAAUGACUUUUCUUAAUAAAUAAAUGUUAUUCUUGGCUUGAUUGUUCAGUGUCUUUAAGUUUAAAUAACAUCCUGAUCCCAUAGGUAUCCAAAAAUUGAGAAAGGCUAAGCAAGUGACGUUUUUAAAAAAACUGAAAAACAGGGUGCAUUGGACAUCCUGUUGUGUGCGCAAGCACCUUUUUCCACAGGUUUACAGACACAUCUCUACUGAUUGGGUAUCACCUAGAACACAGCCAAUAAUUGAGAGACACACCCACCAAACGAGAGAAGACAUAACUCAAACCGUUGCACACCGUUCCCAGGAAAUGUGCUGUUUUGAGAUUGAAUGUGCCCCAGCUCUUUGCCUGAGGGGAAGCCCACAGUCUCAGACUUUAAAAAACACUGGUUUAAGCUUUUAAUAGUAUUUUUAGUAUAUUAGCCCUUAGUAUAGACCAAUGUAGGCUAAUUAUCUCAAAAUCUAGCUACAUGAUCAAAAGGUUUUUUUAUUUUCAGAAUAGCUUUUAAGGUGUUACAGUGUGCUAUUUUCUAUAAUAAUUUGAACUUGUGUAAAUUGUCUUUGAGUACCCUGAAAAGCGCUUUAUAAAUGCACUUCUGAUGCCAUUUAGGGCAAUUUAUUUUUGAAUAAAGAUGGAAAUGGCAGUAAUGAAUUGGGAUUUAUUUGUAUGUAUAUGUGUGUAACUGUAGUCCCAUGUUUCC